AGAGUUUGAUCAUGGCUCAGAACGAACGCUGGCGGCAGGCCUAACACAUGCAAGUCGAGCGCGCCCUUCGGGGUGAGCGGCGGACGGGUUAGUAACGCGUGGGAACGUACCCUUUUCUAAGGAAUAGCCUCGGGAAACUGAGAGUAAUACCUUAUAAGCCCUUCGGGGGAAAGAUUUAUCGGGAAAGGAUCGGCCCGCGUUAGAUUAGAUAGUUGGUGGGGUAGUGGCCUACCAAGUCUACGAUCUAUAGCUGGUUUUAGAGGAUGAUCAGCAACACUGGGACUGAGACACGGCCCAGACUCCUACGGGAGGCAGCAGUGGGGAAUCUUAGACAAUGGGCGCAAGCCUGAUCUAGCCAUGCCGCGUGAGUGAUGAAGGCCUUAGGGUCGUAAAGCUCUUUCGCCAGGGAUGAUAAUGACAGUACCUGGUAAAGAAACCCCGGCUAACUCCGUGCCAGCAGCCGCGGUAAUACGGAGGGGGUUAGCGUUGUUCGGAAUUACUGGGCGUAAAGCGCACGUAGGCGGAUCAGAAAGUUGGGGGUGAAAUCCCAGGGCUCAACCCUGGAACUGCCCUCAAAACUCCUGGUCUAGAGUUCGAGAGAGGUAAGUGGAAUUCCGAGUGUAGAGGUGAAAUUCGUAGAUAUUCGGAGGAACACCAGUGGCGAAGGCGGCUUACUGGCUCGAUACUGACGCUGAGGUGCGAAAGUGUGGGGAGCAAACAGGAUUAGAUACCCUGGUAGUCC
rnacentral:rRNA from 1 species